AAAUUGAAGAGUUUGAUCAUGGCUCAGAUUGAACGCUGGCGGCAGGCCUAACACAUGCAAGUCGAACGGUAACAGGAAACAGCUUGCUGUUUCGCUGACGAGUGGCGGACGGGUGAGUAAUGUCUGGGAAACUGCCUGAUGGAGGGGGAUAACUACUGGAAACGGUAGCUAAUACCGCAUAACGUCGCAAGACCAAAGAGGGGGACCUUCGGGCCUCUUGCCAUCGGAUGUGCCCAGAUGGGAUUAGCUAGUAGGUGGGGUAACGGCUCACCUAGGCGACGAUCCCUAGCUGGUCUGAGAGGAUGACCAGCCACACUGGAACUGAGACACGGUCCAGACUCCUACGGGAGGCAGCAGUGGGGAAUAUUGCACAAUGGGCGCAAGCCUGAUGCAGCCAUGCCGCGUGUAUGAAGAAGGCCUUCGGGUUGUAAAGUACUUUCAGCGGGGAGGAAGGGAGUAAAGUUAAUACCUUUGCUCAUUGACGUUACCCGCAGAAGAAGCACCGGCUAACUCCGUGCCAGCAGCCGCGGUAAUACGGAGGGUGCAAGCGUUAAUCGGAAUUACUGGGCGUAAAGCGCACGCAGGCGGUUUGUUAAGUCAGAUGUGAAAUCCCCGGGCUCAACCUGGGAACUGCAUCUGAUACUGGCAAGCUUGAGUCUCGUAGAGGGGGGUAGAAUUCCAGGUGUAGCGGUGAAAUGCGUAGAGAUCUGGAGGAAUACCGGUGGCGAAGGCGGCCCCCUGGACGAAGACUGACGCUCAGGUGCGAAAGCGUGGG
rnacentral:rRNA from 1 species